UUCAAAAAUAGGUGAUUAUGCUAUACGUAUGUUAUCAUUGGUGCCAGGCCAUCGAAAAAGGCUAAGAAUAUCAGAGGGAUCCCAAUGGUAAUAUUCCUAGUUUAAAAUUGGAAUUUACAUCCUACCAAAUAUAAAUACCCAUCGCAUUUGGAAUUUUUUCCCUGUCAUCCUGUUUACGCAAAAAGAAUUUAAAAAAUUUCAAAUCCAUUACAUUUUAGUUAUUUUGCUAGGAAAAAAAUGUGAAUCCCACAAAAUAAAAUUCCAAUGAUUCAUACAAACCAGCAUAAGAAUUUGUGAGCGGAUGUGAUGAUGAAACUGCAAAAACAAUAUGGUACACAAAAUAAUGUGUAUAAAAGCUUACGAGAUCAAUCAGUUUACUAACAGUUGCAAGUUCAAUUUUCAAGCAUCACAAAAUAAAAUCAGAAUUAAAAAUGAUUUUCAUCAAAUUUAUUUAUAUUUUUGCAUUGAUCGCACUAAGUUUCGCUCGACCGGCAAUUGAAACUGAUAAUUCUAAAUUAAAUAAUCCAAUUGUUGAAUAUGUUGAUAAAUCUAUGGGAGAUGAAGACUUUUACAGUGUGACGACAACACACAAAGAACUCAAAACGCAUAACUGUGAAUUAAGACCUCGAAUUGAAGAUGGAGAGACAAAAUAUUAUGAAGUCUGUGAUUAUUUUAUAAUAGAAUUUUAGUUAGUGAAAUAAGUAAUUUAAUUUAUAUAAAAUUAAAAGAUUUAGGGAAAUUUAUUGUGAUAAUAAUUUGAAGCUGAGUUUUUCAUAAGUGUUUGAGAAUGUGAAGAAAAUAUGUGUUAUAAAUGAUUAGUCUAGUAAAACUAUUUGUCUAAUUUUUA